rnacentral:lncRNA from 1 species
CAGGUCCCCAGCAAGGAGGAGGGAGGUGCUGUGAGGCUCAGGGACCAGGUUUCACUCAACUCUCCCAACAGCAGGGCCCUGAAUGCACAGGAUCACAGCGGGACACAGCAGCCUGCGCCGUCUCUUUAAAUCUCUAUUUUCAGACUUGGGCAAACUCUACUCCUCAAUUCAUGGAACAAUCUCAGUAUUGAUCUAUGCAUGGUAUUGCACAAAGACCACAAGAAAAAGUCAUCGUCCAAACCAGAGAAAGGAAAUUGACCAGUGACCUGUCCUGGGCACAUAACCGCAUGUGAUGAGAGGCAGGACCCUGGCAGGGCAGAGAAACCAGCUCCUUUCAGAGGUUUCCAGACUGUAAAUUUCAAAGCCCUGUACAAUUUCAACAACAAUGAAAAUUUAAGGAUCAAGCAUA